GUGCCCUAUGCACUGCAACACCUAGCUGCUCCUUCCCUUUGUAUUUUAAUAAGCUCUUUUAUAAUUUUAUUUUCUCUUGAUGUUAAUUAGUUUACCUGUGGGCCAAUUGUUAAUAUAGGAUAGUGACAUAUAUGUGGGGAAUUUUUCAGUGAAAAAGAAAUCAAUAAACAUUAACUUUAAAUUUAAUAGUAUAAAAGAUAUGGUAAGAUAUUUAUAUCUCUCCAGGUUUAUGCUCAGAGAAAUCUAAACCCUAAAUGAUCUCAGAAUGGAUGAUCUACAGUGACUGAGACCAUAUAGGAGCAGGAAGUCAAUUCAGAGUGAAGGUUCCCUCAGAAACCGCAGCUCGGCCACAAAUCGUAUUUGUCAACUGGAAAGGAAACGAUACAACUGAAUUCAUUCUCAACCUUCUAGUUCCUUUAAGAUGUGGUUAAAAACAAAAGUAACAGCAAUGACCUUAUAACCAAAGAGACUGCCCCAGAUGUGUGCAGAAUGGACAUUACAGACAAAUACUGAAUUUUAAAGAGGACAUGUGACAUCAAGAAAAGAGUAAGAGCCAAAAGAUUUGGAGAAGAAGUAGCUACAGCAAAACUGACUUAUGAAAUGAGAAUGGUAAACAAAUGAGCCUCAACUCAGUAUGAAAACUUGAUGAAUUACCAAUACUAUACUUAUGACAGGCAACUAUUCUACUUUACUGACACAAUUUAAUAAAUAAAAUUACAGUGAAUAGGAGAUUAAUGUAAGUUGAAACCAACUUGUAUUGUGCUAUACUUGUGGAUUUUAAAAUUGCCUUUUAAAAAAAUUUUCCAUAAAUAAAUAUAAUUAUAUAUAGAAACAACUAACUAAAUGUUUUAGCUACUAGCUAAAGUCACAACAGUUUGUAAGGAUUCAGAAUAAGAAAGAUACAUAAGGAACAUAAUUUAUUGUCAUCAUUAACAUUAUAUAAAAUUAAAUCUGUUGCUCCAUUGGUGGACCUCAGGAUCCAUUGCUCUACCAAUGUACUUGCCAAAGAGAACUGGGAGGUUAAAUGAUUUCACAAGGGUCACACAGCUAGUAUAUAUUUAAGAUCACAAAUUAAGCCAAGGAAACAAAAUCCUAAGGCCAGCUCUCUAUCCAUUAGGCCUUACUGUCUCCAUUUAAUAACUUAUCAAUGUUAUUAUGGUAAAGCUUAUAUUGCAUGUAGAUUUUUAUCUUAUCACAAUGCAAAUGGUUAGGAUCCUCACUGUCCCCCAUUUUGCUUGAUUUUUUUUAAAAUUAGUACUUCUGAGAGUUUUAGGUUUUAUGAUAAAAGUUACUAUUAAAAUUCUUUCCCUUAUUUCUACAAAAUACAUGUCUUCACAUUACCAUAGUCUAUAACAUACAUGGCUGUUAACUCAAGUU